rnacentral:rRNA from 1 species
UUCCCCUAGUAACUGCGAGUGAAGCGGGAAAAGCUCAAAUUUAAAAUCUGGCAGUGGUUCACUGCCCGAGUUGUAAUCUAGAGAAGUGUUGCUCACACUGGACCAUGUAUAAGUCUUCUGGAAUGAAGCGUCAUAGAGGGUGAGAAUCCCGUCUUUGACAUGGACUCCCAGUGUAUUUGUAGCAUGCUCUCAAAGAGUCGAGUUGUUUGGGAAUGCAGCUCUAAAUGGGUGGUAACCUCCAUCUAAAGCUAAAUAUUGGCGAGAGACCGAUAGUGAACAAGUACCGUGAGGGAAAGAUGAAAAGAACUUUGGAAAGAGAGUUAAAAAGUACGUGAAAUUGUUGAAAGGGAAACGCUUGAAGUCAGUCACAUUGGCCAGGGAUCAACCCAAGCUUUUGAGUGUACUUCCUGGCUGAUGGGCCAACAUCAGCUUUGACUGUCAGAGAAGGGUAGGGGGAAUGUGGCACCCUUCUUGGGUGUGUUAUAGCCCUCUGUCAUAUAUGGCCGUUGGGGCUGAGGAAUGCAGCGCGCCACAAGGCCGGGCUUCGACCACGUUCGCGCUUAGGAUGUUGGCAUAAUGGCUUUAAUCGACCCGUCUUGAAACACGGACCAAGGAGUCUAACAUGCCUGCGAGUGUUUGGGUGGAAAACCCGAGCGCAUAAUGAAAGUGAAAGUUGAGAUCCCUGUCAUGGGGUGCAUCGACGCCCGGACCUGAGCUUUCUAGCAAUGGCUCUGCGGUAUAGCAUGUAUGUUGGGACCCGAAAGAUGGUGAACUAUGCCUGAAUAGGGCGAAGCCAGAGGAAACUCUGGUGGAGGCUCGUAGCGAUUCUGACGUGCAAAUCGAUCGUCGAAUUUGGGUAUA